CCAAUAGCGUAUAUUAAAGUUGUUGCAGUUAAAAAGCUCGUAGUUGAAUUUCGGGGUCAGUAGGUUGGUCAUGCCACUGGUAUGUACUGGUCUCACUGAUUCCUCCUUCCUGAUGAACUGUAAUGCCAUUAAUUUGGUGUUGCAGGGAAUCUGGACUGUUACUUUGAAAAAAUUAGAGUGUUUAAAGCAGGCUAACGCCUGAAUACAUUAGCAUGGAAUAAUGAAUUAGGACGUUCGAUCCUAUUUUGUUGGUUUCUAGGAUUGACGUAAUGAUUAAUAGGGAUAGUUGGGGGCAUUAGUAUUCAAUUGUCAGAGGUGAAAUUCUUGGAUUUAUUGAAGACUAACUACUGCGAAAGCAUUUGACAAGGAUGUUUUCAUUAAUCAAGAACGAAAGUUAGGGGAUCGAAGACGAUCAGAUACCGUCGUAGUCUUAACCAUAAACUAUGCCGACUAGGGAUCGGAUGAUGUUAAUUUUUUAAUGGCUCAUUCGGCGCCUUACG
rnacentral:rRNA from 1 species